GAUGAACGCUGGCGGCGCGCCUAAUACAUGCAAGUCGAGCGAGAAGACGUAGCAAUACGUUUGUAAAGCGGCGAACGGGUGAGGAAUACAUGGGUAACCUACCCUAGAGUGGGGAAUAACUAGCCGAAAGGUUAGCUAAUACCGCGUACGCUCCUUGGACUUCGGUUCAGGGAGGAAAGCGAUGCCGAGGGUAUCGCGCUCUUGGAUGGGCUCAUGUCCUAUCAGCUUGUUGGNGAGGUAACGGCUCACCAAGGCUUCGACGGGUAGCUGGUCUGAGAGGACGAUCAGCCACACUGGCACUGCGACACGGGCCAGACUCCUACGGGAGGCAGCAGUAAGGAAUAUUGCGCAAUGGGCGAAAGCCUGACGCAGCGACGCCGCGUGGGGGA
rnacentral:rRNA from 1 species